UUUACACGCUCAGCAUCUCGGGUGG
rnacentral:misc_RNA from 1 species